UUUCAGCAAACAUUGCUGCGGUGGCCCUCCUGGCUGUAAAACAGGCUGCCAAGCGGGCCCGGGGGCUCGUGGUCACGGCUGAGCGCAGCAUUCCUGGGGCUCAGGUGCGGGGCUGGGCCAGCGCAGGUGGGUGCAGAACCACUCGCAUGGGGCCUGGGGAUGCAGCAUACCCCCAGCGCUGCCAUACGUUGACCAACAGCAUGGGUCAGGCAGCCACAAACUCGCUGCCCUCCCCAGUGUCCCACCUGCUGGCAUUUCCCAUCGCCCCUCAGCCCACGCAUGCCAUGAGCCGGGGCGCCAGGCGCAGAAAUGGUCCGUUAGGUUCCAGCACAGGCCGCAGGAAUGCAGCACCUCGCCCCCACCUCCACCUGCUGGAAGGGCUGGAGGCCACAGUGCACCUCCAGCACUCGGCAGCGUGGGCAGCCUCUGUGCCAUCUGACUCGCAGUUGGCUGGGAUUAGUCCUUCCUGCAUUUUGCUGAAGGCCAUUGCUGCGCUCCAUUGCUAGGUGAAGCAUGACCUCAUUGCCCACACCAUCAGAGUUGGGGGAUACACCACCUCACAUCUUUCUGUACGCGUGCCUGACAGAUAAAAUACUUUUUGCCUGAACUGCUCAGCAGCGGGAGCUGUUUCUUUUCCUUUUAAAGCAACACCAUUACCUUUUUCUAUCAUCAAAAAAGGUAAGGUUAUACUCCAUUUAUUGUGGAAGUGAUAAGCCUACCUCAUAGUGCAAGGAAUGUGACUGCUGAUAGCAAGGUGCAGUUGAGUAGCUGAUAACUCCAGUAUUCAUAGUUUCUCUACUGCACUAGUGUUAUUGAUACAACAGAGUUCACUACAAAAGAUACUGCAGAACAUGACAGGGCAUGCCUCCAUGCUUGGAUUCCAGUUCUAAGUAACAAACACAUUAAUUCAGGGAGUUUGGGAACAGAUCUGGUACUUAGAGGUCACACUUCUGCUUACUUUGAGAGUGCUUUCUUAGAUCCACAGAAGCAUGGAGAUGCUGAAAGUAAAAACUCAAUGCAUUACUACUUCAUUACGUCAACACAACCUGUUAACUAUGCAAACAUAAGAGCUGGCAGGAUUGAGCAUCAAAAGCUCUGCAGGGAUCCAGAGUUUGCUCCAUGAGGAAGUGGGACAUGAUGUAACCUGAAUCUUUUUCCAAGUCCAUUUUUCUCCCUGCAGCACUAUGGCCCCAAUACGAUCACUUCAUUGCAUUAAGGUGAGCAGGUGGUAGCUUUUCUGAUGCCACAUGACUGUUUAUGUUGCUUCUUUAAUUGGGGCUGAUCCCCUUUAUUAAGGACUUUAUUGUCUGCUCUUUGGGGCUCACAGUGAGUAAAGGAAGUAAUUGCAAUCAUAGGAAAACGUUUCUGCGUGUGGGCAUUUUCCAGGAUGCUUUAAAAGCAACAUCAUUGCAGAACUUCCACUUUAUAAUUAAUUUCACCCUUAAAUUCCUGUGUGAUUUAUCCUCUGAAAAGAGAGCAUUUAAUUAUAGUUCUGUACCGGUAUCCAGAUACCAGGUAACGCUGACACCAUUGAAUCCAUUCAUUGGAAUUUCCUCUUUCAGGUUUGAAUAUAUGGGCAACAAGUACCACAUAUAGAUCUUUGCUUCAUCUUUUUGUAAUUCUUUCUGUCUCGUGGUGUAUAUUUCCACAUCAGCCAUCUCCAUUUGCAGGUUUCACCAUCCUCUUCCCCCACAUGGAUGUGCCUCUUUGGAUACUGCCAGCACACACUGUAAGAACCGAUGUUCUGAUUGCUACUCUUCACAUUGGGUAGCACCUUCCUGCACUGAUGGAGCCAAUGUAAGGCAGAUUCAUUACGUCUCGUGGAUUCAAGGGGAAAAGCAGAGGUUAGAUGUACAUUUUCCUUUGCUUGAGAAUGCAUUUCUUCAUGGUGAUUGCCUGUAGAAGAAUACAGGUGCAUUCCUAAUAGUGAACUGUCACUUCAUGUAUGUGUUCUUGCAUAACCAAACCCAUACAUGACAGGUGACUCCUACUUUCUGUAGAACCCACAUCCAGUUUUACAUGUUGCCAUUCUGGGUACAGAUAUGCAUUGCUUUUUGUCUGUUGAGAACGCCACCUAUUUCCAAAAGCAACGUAUUUUUGUUAGAAAGUGUUUUUGAAAAUAGAAGAAAAUCAUGACCUUGCCUUGAAGCACUGGACACUUUUACAUGAGAAAUAAAAAGGUGAAAAUCUUGACCACAAAUGGCAUAAGAAGGGAGAUACCUAAUGGGGAUCCAUACUUGAGAUAGCCUACAGGAAAUGGAGUAAGGAAAAAACCUUGAGCCAGACUUACUCUAUAGAGAGGUCAGCCUCAAAUCUGCUACGUCUGUGAUGAGUCAUUUAGGGCCAGUGUACUUAAACAACCAAGCUCUCCCAUAAACGAUGAGAGUUCAAAAUGCUAUCCCAAGGCUGAAAGAGGCUCUUCCUGGAAACGCAGGAUGAGGUCAAAGCUCCUGGACAAAAGACAUUUGGCUGUUUAAAAUAACAAUCACCCCAAAUUUAGUGGUUUCUUGGGCAACUUCUUGGGUCAGCAUUAAGCGGAAAUUGGAACAAAAACAGAAAAAAACAAACAAAAGAACUCUAAAUCCCAUCUAUCUUGAUGCAUCUCAGAAGAUGGAAAGGUAAAGGUAAAGGCAGCUUUUCACUCUGUAGGAAAUUUCCAUUCCUCUGAGCAGCUCCUGAGUGUCCCAACACAUGCCGCCAGCAGGAAGAGCUCCUUAGUGCUCAUCUGCUGUUUUCCCUUUCCUAAUUACAGCUCUCUGCAAAGUGGUUCAUCCACCUCCAAGGAGAUGGCGGCUUCUUUCAUUUACAGGAUCUUUUCACAGCUUUUGCCUUGAUUUGCCGCUAAUCAAACUUGUAUUUGUACCCUUGUGAAGGGUACACUGAACCAGGUCCCAUCCAUGCAUUUAGUCAGUGCAGAUCCUUGCUCCUAAUCAUUUGUUAAGACUUUGAGUAGGACCAAGGUGGAAGAGCAGUGGUUUCCCCACAGCAGGUGGCAAGAAUUAAGCUACUAGCCAUUCAGUGUUCUGCCUUCCCCUAACCUUCAUCUGGACUCAUAACUGGUGCUUUCGUGCAUACGUACAGCAAAGGCUCAGAGAAGCAUGACACCACACUUCUGAAUUGCCUUCCUCGUGAUCUAAAUGGAUUUUAUUGUUAGCAAACAGCAAGCACCAUGACGUGACAGCAUGCUGCUGGCAGCCAACCUCGUGGCACUUCGGCUUGUUGGAUCUGAGCACAGCAACCCUCUGGGAGCAGAGAAAUGGCAGCAAGAGCCACUGCUGCAAAGUGGUGUGACUCAGCGGCACUCAUUGCCUCCCGUUGGCUUUCACCACAGCACUCAGCCCCAGCUGUGGGCUCUGCACCGUUUCCCUCCUCUUCUGCAUCCCUGCCCCGGACAGCCUGGGGAGGACAGAGGGUAAGGAAGAUGCUCUGUGUAAUGCCACCAUCAGAGGGAAGAAGACAGCUUGCCGUGGCCUCCGCAUUUUGGCUGUGACUCAGUGGUGAGUGCCACUGGCACGCUUGGCCAUGUGCACGGAGAUGGGCACUCUCAGCACAAGGUGUGGCACUGGGGAUGAUGAAGUAAACAGCAAUUCACUGGAACCAGAUCAGCCAGCACUCAUUCCCAACGUAGAACCUAGGAAAGCGGCACAGGUCCGCGGUGUAUUUGUUUGGCCCAGUGAUGGCUGCUAGGCACAGGAGCAGAUGCGCUUAGUGGAAUUCCCCCAUCCACUGGCAUUAUGGGACACUCCUAUUACUGUUCUUAUAAUUACUGUUAAUCAUUACUAUUACUGCAGUGACCAAAAAGAAAGCAGUCGGCAUCAGGCCGUCAUUGGAGCAGCGUUGUCAUGGAGGGAUGAUGAGACAGCCCGCCCCAGGGAACCCAUAAAUGUGGUGCCCAAUUCAUCACAGCAGUCACAUUGCAAAGUAGGACACUGCAGUGCCCAACGAAGCUCCCCUACAACCUGAGCAAAAACAAACCACAACAUUCCCUUGGGCUGAGCUAUAGCAGCCUCAUUUGUGUCUGCUUGGAGCCAGGAUGUUGGCAUCAUGCUCUGUCCAAGUGUGGCUGGAGGGUGAGGAGCUGGCCAGGAACCCAGCACUCAACAAGAUGUUUCCCUUCUAUAUUUUCACUCUGCAGGUGCAACCUGCAAUAGAAUCCCAUGUGUUUGGUCUUUGUGAAUUUCACAUCACCAGCACCAAAAGCCAGCUGUGAGUCACACGAUACACGGGAAGGCCCAGGGUUUGGGUGGGAAUGACCAAGAGUAACUGAAAUCAUUUUCCAGUCACCUUCCCCUCCCAUCCACAGUCUGAACACAACCUCAGGUAUCCAGUUUCCUGGAGAUGGUCUCUAGGUGAUGGAUCAAAGGAAUGGAUGAGAAAGCUGGGUCAUGGGCUGGGUACCAACGGGGAGCUGCAGGGAGAAACUGGUGGCCUCUGUACAGCUGAGAAGGGUGGAGAGCUCCAUCCUGCACAGGACCCCUUUGCUCCAAUGUUAAUUUCCUUCCACCACAAUCCAUUCCAAUGUGAACUGAAGUUAAAGACGAAAUGGCGGGUGAGGGAAGUGCACUCUGGGAAACACUGGACAAAGCAACUGAACAGACUAAGUUUUCUGAAUCCAGUUCAAUUCCUCAGCAACAAUGGUCCUUCUGAAGGAUAUUCAGAGGAAGCAGGCAUCAAAAAAACAAUUUAAAAAAUUUUUGUAAUAUUCCAAAUGGAAGCUGUGCAUUGGAUGCUUGGGAUGAGACAAUUUCAGCCACCAACUUGCAGCAUGCCUACAGCUGCGGUCACCCCUUCAUACAUAACACAUGUUCCAGCUCCACACCCAGAUUAAUCCACCCUGCCCAACCAGGCAUACAGGCAGCCUGACAUCAAUCACAACACAGAGCAUUAAGCUAGCACCAGAGAUGGCCUGUGCUCAGGUGGAACAUGCCAGGCAGCAGAGCUCAUGCAGAAAACAGCCCAAGUUUUUUGCUCCAUCCACACCUCCCAGCCCUCCCUGCUUUGUUCUCGUAACAUUCCCAUGCGUGGACCAAGGAGAGCAAUUUCCAGGAAGGACUACUGUAUGCAAAGCUAAUUGCCUGUCUUUCCAAAUCAACCCCUUUAAAGGGCACGUGGGUUAGCUACAUCAGAAAAGAGGUCUCUGCGCAAUUCUCUCUCUCCUCUCCCAUAGAGCACUCUUACACAACGCACUGCACACGGUGGCAUGCAUCUGAUUACAUUGGAGCAACUCUGAUGACCAUGUGCAGUAACCAUGUGACAUGCCAGCAUCGCUGACUGCAUUGCAAAUGUGGGAAUUGUCCUUUACAUAGAUCUAAAUAAGGUUGGAGCCUCUAGGCAAUGGCCUUCGAUUGUUUACAGUUUUCAUAAACAGGAUGCUAACAAUUUGUAAAUAUCCAUUGGAAAUCCAUCAGCUGUGGAUUUCCAAGUUCACGGUGGACCAGUUUGGUAUAUGUUCAUCUUCAAUAAGUCUAUCUCUACCAAAACUUUAUUGGUAACAUUGCACGACCACAACAGCUGCCUCUAAUGGACCUGUUAGAGCAUGUCCAGAAGAGGGCCACCAAAAUGACCCCAGGGAUGGAACAUGAAACACCUUCCCUACGAGAACAGGCUGAGAGAGCUGGGGCCGUUCAGCCUCGAGAAGAGAUGGCCCUGAGGAGACCCGAGAGCGGCCUUUCUAAUGGGGAAGGGGGGUGACAGGAAAGAAGGGGACAGGCUCUUUAUCAGAGUCUGUUGUGAUAGAACACAAGGAAAUGGUUUCAAACUAAAAGAGGAGAGAUUUAGAUUGGAUGUAAGGAAGAAAUUUUUUUUACAGUGAGGGCGGAGAUGCACUGGCACAGGUUGCCCAGAGGGGCAGUGGAAGCCGCAUCCCUGCAGACAUUCAGGGUCAGGCUGGAGGGGCUCUGAGCACCCAAUCUAGUUGUACCUGUCCCAGUUCAUUGCCAGGGAGUUGGACUAGGUGGCCUUUAAAAGUCCCUUACAACUCAAAUGAUUCUAUGAUUCUAAUUGCAUGUACCAGUGAUUCUACUUCCUAGCUUCCACACAUUGAUUCUGGAGUUGGUACAUCUUCAGAACAUUACCUGGGGAACAAGGAAUCAAAGAAAUAAAGUACUAUUGUUGUCAUCAUUUUCCAUAUUCAGAGAUAGCAAGGGAAUUACACAGCUCUAAAUUCCCAUUGCUAUGCCUUACCUAAAGGGUUUGUUUGUUGUGUUACCUUUUGUUCUUCACAAAAACAUCCCUUCAGCUUAACAGAGAUGGGGACACGUGAGUGUCCAUACUAGCACAUGCACGUGGAAAAAGUCUCUCUCUAAAAUUUUCCUGGGACUUCCUUGAGUGUUGCAGAAGAGAGUGCUUUGGUGGUCACUGAGUAGGAAUCAGCCUGUAAACUGGUACACUGUCACUCCUAGCACAGGCAUAAAUAACCCACUGCUGGGCUUGCACUGAUGCAGAGCAAUCUGACAACACAUCCUCAGCUCCAAUGCAAGUGCCUUAAGAAACUGUAACUCCAGGCAACAGCUGUAAUUGGUUAAGGUCAGGUAACAGCAAAGCAUUCAAGAAACAAUAAUUGAUCUAACAUUCAAUGUUACUUGAGCACAUGAAGUAGUCCUCCUAAGAAUAUAUUGUUAUAAAGCCCUGAUGCCACUUGUUCUGUGUAUUGCACUAUGAACUCAGUUGGGCUUCAGACAGCUUUGCAGAUAAAUCAGGAGGAAACUAACUUACACCCACUAUGAGUGUAUCUCCAGCUAAGAAAUGAGAUAAUUCAAUGCCCUUGGGGAGAUACGAGAAGCAUUUAAAGCAUAAAAAUUGCUCACCUUUCCCUUACCUGGUAAAGUGAUAAACAGAAACAGUACUGCUCAAUAGUACCUGAAAGUCUGAUGCAAGCCUUCAAAAGCAAAGGAGACUAGGAGACGGAGGCAACCAUGAUGCAAGGAUGUACAGCCCCAGUAACACAACAUUCCAAAUCAGCAGCCACCAGGUGCUGACAUAACACAGUGCAUAUGAUGAAAGCUGCAGAAGAGCAAAGCAUUCCUAAAACCACUUGGUUAAAAUUACUAACACCUGAAACUGCCCCCAGCUGUUUGUGGGUGGGAGAGCUGAAGGAAGCAGCCAGCAAAGCAAAGGCAGAUGGUGUGGUGUAUGGGGAGUGGGUUUUAGCUGUGGUCAUAACUCUAUCCCUUGGGUGCCCUCACUGCCAGCUGGGAGAUGUCACAUGCUACACAUGGUGCUCUUGGAGAAGAACUAAGCCUUGCUUUCUUCCCUUGUCUGCCUCUUCCCCCUUAGCACAGGCAGAGCUUUCUGCACAUCUGUGUGAACCUGAGCUCUACAUGAACAAAGGUAUUUUUGUGAGAAACUGAAGAUAAACCUGAUGUUCAGCACCCCAAGGAUGUAAGUCAGCGUCUCGGCUUUGCAGCAGCACAAGGAUCAAGCUGGAAGUUACGAAUCUCACAGGUCCAUUAAGCUCAGUGCCUUUUGCCAGGCUCAACUCGCCUUUGUCAUCACUUUCAUGCUUAUCUUGAAGUUCACAGUUCUGCCCCUUGCCAUGAGGGCUGCAAGAUAAAUCAGCAAAAAGUCCCUACUUGGAGAUUUCCACAGCCACCACUCCACCUGUUACAGCCAUCCCUGGACUUGGUCCUGUGCAAAGACCCAGAUCUGAACAGAAGGUACACAAAAGGAUUGGCUGUCAUGGCACAGCCACCAGGCACUCAGCUGGGAACUGUGCCUGCUGUUAUUUUCCUCACUGGAAAAACAAAACACAAUUAAAGCAGGCUGGCUAUUCUUCUAGACCCACGUUAUUCAGCAUAAGGGCACGGAGAUCAACACCAGCACUGCA